UACAACAAUAAAUGGGUUAUGGCCCAAUUGACCAAAGAUGAACCAAAAGUAAUAAUGACACAAACUCCACACUCUUAGAUCUGAUCACUAGUCUCUGUUUUGAUUGGUUUGCCUUUGGAUUUUGGGCUGUUUAUAAUUGCUUAUGUGAUUUGUCUUUGGAUCUUGAGUGCUUUGUAUGCUACACACACAGUCUCAUCCUCAAACAACAAUGAAGUUGACCCAAACCAGGACAAAGACAUUCAAUGUCAGCACGAGUUGCAACCAUAUUAUGAGUGGUCAUCAAUGGUUCACUGAAAAAUAGAGUACAACAGGGCUCGUGUAACAAGAUGGAGGGAAGACUUGACAUGGAUUAGAUUAUAUAUUGUCUAGACAUGCAUGAAGGGAACCCAUAAACCUAUGUUAUGGAUUGAAAGAGACCUAUCAUGUUAUGGGGCCUUAGCUGGCUAUGACAAAUGGAAUAGCUUGAUGAACUAUGUAAGUUGGCAGUUUCAACACAGCAGGAAUUAGCAGAAAGAUCAACACAGCAGGAAUUAGCAG